rnacentral:rRNA from 1 species
GACGAACGCUGGCGGCGUGCCUAAUACAUGCAAGUCGAACGCAGUGGGGACGGGUGAGUAACACGUGGGUAACCUCCCAUCAGAGGGGAUAACACUUGGAAACAGGUGCUAAACCGAUCCUGAUGGAUGGACCCGCGGUGCAUUAGCUUGUUGGGGGGGUAACGGCUCACCAAGGCCACGAUGCAUAGCCGACCUGAGAGGUGGAGCGGCCAAAAUGGGAAUGAUCAACGGCCCAGAAUCCUACGGGAGGCAGCAGUAGGGAAUCUUCGGAAAUGGACGAAAGUCUGACGGAGAAACGCCGCGUGAGUGAAGAAGGUUUUCGGAUCGUAAAACUCUGUUGUUAGAGAAGCGGUAUCUAACCAGAAAGCCACGGCUAACUACGUGCCAGCAGCCGCGGUAAUAC